rnacentral:rRNA from 1 species
AUUGAACGCUGGCGGCAGGCCUAACACAUGCAAGUCGAACGAGUGGCGGACGGGUGAGUAAUGUCUGGGAAACUGCCCGAUGGAGGGGGAUAACUACUGGAAACGGUAGCUAAUACCGCAUACCAUCGGAUGUGCCCAGAUGGUAUUAGCUAGUAGGUUGGGUAACGGCUCACCUAGGCGACGAUCCCUAGCUGGGCUGAGAGGAUGACCAGCCACACUGGAACUGAGACACGGUCCAUACUCCUACGGGAGGCAGCAGUGGGGAAUAUUUCACAAGGGGCGCAAGCCUGAUGCAGCCAUGCCGCGUGUAUGAAGAAGGCCUUCGGGUUGUAAAGUACUUUCAGCGGGGAGGCGUUAGCCGAAGAAGAAGCACCGGCUAACUCCGUGCCAGCCGCCGCGGUAAUUG